UUACUGCCCUCCUUCCAGAUGUGCUGGAUCCUGCAGCCCACGAUGUUCCUUCUGGGCUGAGCCAGAGUCUUACUGGGACCAACGCUGGUCCUCGGUUUCCUGGAGGAACAACAGGAAGGAGAAACCCAACAAGACGAAACUCCUGAAUGUCCUGAAACAGAAACACACACUGAGCCGCUGAUAAACUGUCACAUGGUGCGUUCAAGGACACACCAUCAGAAGCACUAAACAAGAGCAAAAACACAGAAGCAGAUCUACAUCCGUCUACUUCCUGUCCCACUCAGAGACUGACCUCCGUCCGCUCGGGGCCGGGGGCCGCUGGGCUCUUGAAUGGGGUCUUCAUUCAUCCACCUGUAGGGGGCAGCAGCCG